rnacentral:rRNA from 1 species
GAUGAACGCUGGCGGCGUGCUUAACACAUGCAAGUCGAACGGAAAGGCCCAAGCUUGCUUGGGUACUCGAGUGGCGAACGGGUGAGUAACACGUGGGUGAUCUGCCCUGCACUUCGGGAUAAGCCUGGGAAACUGGGUCUAAUACCGGAUAGGACGAUGGUUUGGAUGCCAUUGUGGAAAGUUUUUUCGGUGUGGGAUGAGCUCGCGGCCUAUCAGCUUGUUGGUGGGGUAAUGGCCCACCAAGGCGUCGACGGGUAGCCGGCCUGAGAGGGUGUACGGCCACAUUGGGACUGAGAUACGGCCCAGACUCCUACGGGAGGCAGCAGUGGGGAAUAUUGCACAAUGGGCGCAAGCCUGAUGCAGCGACGCCGCGUGGGGGAUGACGGCCUUCGGGUUGUAAACUCCUUUCGCUAGGGACGAAGCGUUUUGUGACGGUACCUGGAGAAGAAGCACCGGCUAACUACGUG